AAUCUUGCGCAAUGGGCGAAAGCCUGACGCAGCCAUGCCGCGUGAAUGAUGAAGGUCUUAGGAUUGUAAAAUUCUUUCACGUGGGAAGAUAAUGACGGUACCCGGAGAACAAUCCCCGGCUAGCUCCGUCCCAGCAGCCUCGGUAAUACGAAGGGGGCUAGCGUUGCUCGGAAUUACUGGGCGUAAAGGGCGCGUAGGCGGAUCGUUAAGUCAGGGGUGAAAUCCCAGGGCUCAACCCUAGAACUGCCUUUGAUACUGGCGAUCUUGAGUAUGAGAGAGGUAUGUGGAACUCCGAGUGUAGAGGUGAAAUUCGUAGAUAUUCGGAAGAACACCAGUGGCGAAGGCGACAUACUGGCUCAUUACUGACGCUGAGGCGCGAAAGCGUGGGGAGCAAACA
rnacentral:rRNA from 1 species